rfam:Plasmodium falciparum strain 3D7, chromosome 1
CAAUCUUAACGAUGGAUGUCUUGGCUCUUGUAGCGAUGAAGGCCGCAGCAAAACGCGAUAAGCAAUGAAAAUUGCAAUUACUGUAAAUCAUCAGAAUGCUGAAUGUAAAUUACACCGAUACUAUUUUUUUAGUAUUCCGGUACUCCUAUUUUUAUUGUAC